rnacentral:rRNA from 1 species
UACGAAGGGGGCUAGCGUUGCUCGGAAUUACUGGGCGUAAAGGGCGCGUAGGCGGUUCUAUAAGUCAGGCGUGAAAUUCCUGGGCUUAACCUGGGGGCUGCGCUUGAGACCGUGGGACUUGAGGUCAGAAGAGGGUCGUGGAAUUCCCAGUGUAGAGGUGAAAUUCGUAGAUAUUGGGAAGAACACCGGUGGCGAAGGCGGCGACCUGGUCUGAUACUGACGCUGAGGCGCGACAGCGUGGGGAGCAAACAGG